rnacentral:sRNA from 1 species
CAAGUCGGCCAAUUGCGUCAUCGAAGGUCUUGUAGUGAGGCUUCUUGUACGCAAUCUUGAAGGGGUUUGUUACGUAGUAGCCCGUACUGAUCGGUUCAAGGGGAUUCUCGCGCGCGAUAAUUUCACA